rnacentral:RNase_P_RNA from 1 species
GCGAUGAACCAUGCCGCCGCGGUUUUUAAAGAUUUGCCGACGCUCAUCUUUAAAAAUUCGAGGAAAGUCCGGACUCCGCAGGGCACGGCGCCGGGUAACCCCCGGGCGGAAAGCGUAACAAGUCCCCGGUAACGGGGAUAAAAAGCUUUUCGACAGAAAGCGCAACAGAAAGGAUACCGCUUUGUACCUGCAGGUAAAAUGUUGCGCCUAAAGGCGCAGCUUGAACCCGAAGGCGGAAAGUCAGGGUGAAAUGGCGGGGUAAGAGCCCACCGCGCCGGCGGCAACGCCGGCGGCAAACAAUUCGGUUCGGCCGGCAGGGCAGGGUUUGCGCAGCAAAACUUGCCAUAAUCGGCUGGGCCGGAUUAUGGCAAGCCUCGCCGGGAGCAAAGUCAAGCAAGUGCGCGGCUUGUACCUAACGGUACAAGCUUUUAUACCAAAAGGUGAAAUCACACCCAAUGGUGUAAGCCGGCGGCCCGCCGGUCAAGCACGGGUAGACUGCACGGAGACGGCCGGUAACGGCCGUCCCAGACAGAUGGCGGUUAUGGCACGCCCCAGGGCGUGCCAAAAACAGAAUCCGGCUUAUGGUUCAUCGCUUUU